rnacentral:rRNA from 1 species
GACGGAGGAUGCAAGCGUUAUCCGGAAUGAUUGGGCGUAAAGCGUCCGCAGGUGGCUGUGUAAGUCUGCUGUCAAAGAGCGAAGCUCAACUUCGUAAAGGCAGUGGAAACUACACGGCUAGAGUGCGUUCGGGGCAGAGGGAAUUCCUGGUGUAGCGGUGAAAUGCGUAGAGAUCCGGAGGAACCCCAGAGGCGAAGGCGGCUCUCUAGUACGGUACUGACGCUGAGACGCGAAAGCGUGGGGAGCGAACAGG